AGGCAAUUCAAUGGCCUUUGGCUGUUGCCGGCGCCGCCUGCGCCUGCGACACUAACGGUAAACGGGGAGCAAUGGCUGACUUCCGGUUUGGCUUUAAUCGUCUGCUGCCGUCGUAAAUGGCAGCAAAAUCGGCAAAAUGCGAGCAGCGAACAAUAAAAGAGAAAUUAGCAUAACACAUGAGACAACGACAACGGCAACGACAUCGCUCGUUGGUGGCGGCUCCCCUUGCGGAACCUCUUUCCCCUCGAUUUCACCAUGUUCUUUAUGUGUGAUUUUAAUGGGCUCGUGGGUGUCUGGGCCAUGGUCGCUUUUCUAUUUCAAUUGCCGACACGUGUACGCCGCGUAAAACAAAACAAGGAACAAGACCAUAAAGGCAUCACGCACAUGUCUGGCCAUUUGCAUUAUUUUACCCGCCCCUGAAAUUCUGCACCCAAAGUGCCAUUUAAUUGCCAUAAAGUGUCGGGGCGUGGUCACUCUCUUGCGUCAAUGCAAGAGUUCCAUAAACUUGGUCGUUAUUAUUUCGUGGGCUGUCCACCCUAUCAAGACGUCCGUUAAAUAAAAGUGCGUAAUCAAAUCUAACGCAUUUAGCCCGAACAACACGCGGCGCUGACACGGUACUUCUACUGAUUAGGAAUAGACGAAAAUAAACUGUACCAAAAUAGCUUAAACAUCAAAAACAAUACCAUCUUGCCGUCUAUCUAAAGUCCAACAAUGAAUUUUUGCUUUGGUUGAUAAUGGCAGGUUUAUUUCACAAAAACCUACAUACAUAUGUUGUUAUUCACUUUAAUUUAAAGGCAAUUUUUAUUUCUGACUUAUGGUACUACACAUGAGUAGUAUUUUUAAAAUAUGUACACAGAUUUAAAUUUAAUUCUGUUUAUAAUCGUAAUGUAAACACAAUUAUUUGUCAACACUUUUACGUUCAGUGUAAGCAUUUGGGCUUGCCAAAAAUAAUACGUAUUUGUUUUGUAUUUGACUGGGAAUUUCUUAGGAACACAAUUACUCGGCAGAAAAGCGGUUAUCAAUUGAUACGGCGGUCAGCAAUGAGAUGCUUUAUUUUUAGGCAUUUCAGAGAAUCGAAUUUUGCAAAUGCCUUGACCGUGAAUGUGUGUGGGUUGGGUAUGUGUGUGUGUGUGUGUAUGCAAGCGUGUUCGCUGCGGUUGUGUGGGUAACAAUAACAAUAACAGUAACAUGCGCCGAACGCUCCGUACUCAUGGUGUUUGGUUUUUUAUUUGGUUUUUUGCCGGUUUUUUUUCCCGGCAUGUGUCAGAUUUACAAUACCCUUCAAGAAAGUACUUACAAUUUGUUAAGGCAAAUACAAACAUGUUUUUAAUUUUAAUGCUUUCAAAUUUGAGAUAAUAAUACAUUUAAAGAUCUUAAGAACUUAAUUUAUAUUAAUACUAUAUGGGUAGCCUUUCUUACAUAAGAGAGUAUAUACAAAUCAGUGUUUCGAAAGCAUUGUGCUUUCCAGUUAUUUAACUCCCUGGUGCCUUUUAUAAUUAUUUUUAUUCUCCGUAGUUGACUUUUGUUUUCUCCCCACACAUGCCCAAUGUCAAGGCCCCUCCGAUACAAACGCGAGAAGUCGCCAAAAAUACGCCUGGUGGGAAAUGGCGAACACAAAAGGCAGCCACGCGCCUUUUUAUGGGGCGCAAUACGCAGGAACACAAGCCGAUGGCCCCCAGCGGAUCAACAUACAGGAAAAUAUAGUGAACGGACAUAUUGUCAGGCUACAUUCACAAACUAAUUACAUGCAACACAAUGUGUGUGCAAGCGGAAACCACUUCAUAUUUAUUUGUUUUAUUUAUUUGGGGACAAAUGUUAUUAACAACAAAAACAUUUCUUUGAUAGUUAAAUUUAACUUCACAUUUGUUUAACACUGUUUUACUACUUAGUUAUGAUUGUAUUUGUACAAGAUGAUAAAGCCGCAAAUGCGUCAAAGGAAACAAUAUACAUAUAUAAAAAUCAAAACAACUUUUAAUAACAAAUAGUGUUAAAAAACUCAUAGGCUUAUCUUUCAGUAUAAGUAUAUACAUUUUUAAAAAGAAAACCAUAAAACGAUUGAAUAUAUAUAAUUCGAAUUUGUCCUGCAUUCAAAAGUCGCGGGUCCAAGCAGUACACAAGCAGUUUUAUUUAUUUGUGGAGAACUGCUUAUGCACAAGUAUUCGACAAAAGCUUUUAGCGAAAAUGAUUUGUAGUCGAACACUGCUUCCCCUGCUAGCAAGCAGUCAUCCGCGGGAAAUUUAAAAUAUUUUAAAAGAAUAUCAAUAGAUGAAACCUUA